rnacentral:rRNA from 1 species
AUGAACGCUGGCGGCGUGCUUAACACAUGCAAGUCGAACGGAACUACUCCAAUGAGAGUCUUCGGAAAGGAUUUGGUUUAGUUUAGUGGCGGACGGGUGGGUAACGCGUGGGUAACCUGCCCUAUACAGGGGGAUAACAGUUGGAAACGACUGUUAAUACCGCAUAAGCGCACAGGAGCGCAUGCUCCGGUGUGAAAAACUCCGGUGGUAUAGGAUGGACCCGCGUCUGAUUAGCUGGUUGGCGGGGUAACGGCCCACCAAGGCGACGAUCAGUAGCCGGGCUGAGAGGGUGAACCGCCACAUUGGGGCUGGGAAACGGCCCAAAACCCUACGGGAGGGAGGAAUGGGGAAUAUUGCACAAUGGGGGAAACCCUGAUGCAGCGACGCCGCGUGAGCGAAGAAGUAUCUCGGUAUGUAAAGCUCUAUCAGCAGGGAAGAAAAUGACGGUACCUGACUAAGAAGCCCCGGCUAACUACGUG